AUAUUGUGGGAGUCGAGCCGAAUGGCAACCUUCUAUGUGCUACCGCACUUAUCUGGUGACGAACCAUUUUAGGCAAAUUAAAAUCCUGGCCAAAAUGAAAGUUGCCCUAUAAAAAUACCACAAAAUUCCAGAGUAGGAUUAUAGCAAGCUACGGUCACACAUGAUUUGCAGACUUCCGUUCUCUUUUUGUGAAGGCGUGAUCGAGUGCAGUUCAAUAUUGUGCAAAAUCCAUAUUUAAAAAUCCACGAGCAUCGUGUGGUUCGGAUUAUAGUUUUUCAAGGCAAAUACUGCCGAGUGAUAGUUUACCUUUAACUGCGUCGCUGCCGGUCCCACGUUUGGAGAUAGGAGUUUUAGUGGCUGCGUCGCCAAGGCGGUUAGUAUUGUUUUUCGCUAAACUUUUGACCACGCGUGAAAUUUACUGUGGCUUCAUUGAUCGCAGAUAGAUUUACAACUGCUGGCAUCAGGAGCACCCACCGUGUGCAGUGGAAGGCUGGGCUUGACCUCUUCUGCUGCCGACAGAUCACAGGUCAACCCACCCCAGAGUUGGCGUUCUUUUUUUCUUCAUCGCCGCACGCAGGAAGCAGAUCGCCGUGCAUCCAUUUAAUGCACAAAUCAGCUUGGUGUCUUCUUCAACCCUGCGUUUUCCAAUAAUAUUUGGGCACAACACGAGCCCCAGGCUGGCCUUGUCGCUGCGUAUGCUGCGAACCCGAAGCAGCCGCAACACGAAUGAUCGUGUCCAGUAUUAAGUAUAUUUAGAAUAGUUUUUUUUAUAUUUGAGUUAAUUUUACAUAAGAAUAUUUACUUAUAAAUUUCUAUAAUUCUAAUUUAGCUUAACUUGUGGGAGAUCUGACAAGUUUAUAUAUGUGAUUCUCCUGAUUUAUAGUAAUAACUACAGCAAAUCAUCAAACGUCAUCAGGCCUGCUGACAUCGAUGGAAAGUGCGUGAGUACAGAACAAAAUAAUAAAACACACAAACAUAUAUAUAUAAAAGUCAGAUAUUCCUAAAUAGUAUUCUUAAAAUAUCCUGCCUUAAUUAAUCAUGAUUUAAAGAAGUUUAUAGUUUAAAUACUCAUUAAUCAUAAAUAAUUCUAAUGUAAAAUAAGUCGAAGGAACAAAAGAAUAAUGUAAGCUUAUAUACCAGUAUUUGAAUUUCUACCUUAAUUAUUUUUAUUUCAUUUUGUCGCUGAUAAUCAAAAUUAAUCAAUAAGAGAUUUUCUUAACAUAAAUAACGUAAAUUUUAGUUUAAGGCUUAGGUUUAGGAAAAUGUAUCUGAAUCUUAUAUUUAUCUUUAAUUAUAUGGGGUCCAAAAUGAAUUAAUUUGACUUCUUGUUGGGCACCAAAGGGUAUGUAGAGCAGUGGUUGUACUAGGGUGGAGUCCGAAUGGAUUCCACAGGUAGGGUGGGUAAUGAAUAAGGCCAAUAACAUCUGGGCCUCGUCUUCAAUAGGUACACCUUCUUGUCCGCUUCCUAACCGUUUGGUUAUCGUUUUUUGAAUCUACCGUAUCUCUGUCUACACUAUUGUAGCUGUAACACUCUUUGUUCAUCACAACACAAAACCCACGCCCAUUUUCCCUGAGCAUGCCGGUAAAAAUCGUAGACAGAGUGUGUUGGGGUGGACAACGCUCUAUGAGUGUGUUCGUUACAGUUAUAAUUGGCGCCCAAACGUGGGACAGCCCGAUGCCUGAUUAGGCACUUGUCGUUUGACAACCGAGCUUCCCGUUAAUAAACAAUCCAUCCACUUUUAGUUUCAGUUAGGUAUUUCAUAUUCCGUCCUGGAAUUUAUGGUCUCUGGAGAGUUCCGGAGCCAUACCGGAGGAAAUGUUAUGCUUUUAUGUGUUUUUUUUUCUAUCAGUUCAGUAAUAACCGAACAGUAUUGUUAAAAAAACAACAUUCUAAUUUGAGUAAUUGAUUCUUAGGAAUUAUAGUUCUGAUUUAAAGUCGGUUCUAUACCAGGAUUUCACUAUUCAAAAAUUACCUCCUUAUCAUUUAGGAUCGAGAUUUUUCUAGCUGGAUAGAUUCGGCUAGUUACUCUUCUAAGUGGUAAGAGUUCAUAAAUAAUAAAAGACAUUUAUUUUACAACUCUGUAUGCAUACCCCGUUAGCUUUUCGUACCUAUUGAAUUAUACAACCUACUGCUUUACUACUCAGGGUAAGACCCGCAGGUAUUAUUUUGUUCUCUUAACUGGUAUCUUUUUGUCGCCUAGCGUUGAUCGUUGGAUCUUAGCGCGUACUCAUUAUCUUUUUUUCGUUUAUCUUUGAUCGUUGGAUCUUAACGUUUUUGCCUACUAUUGAUCGUUUGAUCUUAUCGCUUAUCUUUCUUGUUUUAACGAGAGGAAUUGUUAGACUUUAAGUAUUAUUCUAGAAGCUUCGAAAAUGAUGAUGCGAAGUAAUGAAAAUUUAGUUGACGUAGAUACGGAUGCGUUGGUGACAUGCACCAUCUGCAACGGGCCAGUACGUAAUCUGGAUUUGGUUGAAACCCGUUGUAAACAUUCCUUUCACAAACAUUGCCUUGACAACUACCUUAAGAACCAUGACAAAUGCCCCAUAUGUGGCCAGCCAUGUUCUCAAUCCGAGUUAGGAUCUCAUUUGCCUUUGUCGACUAAAUCUCAAGGUAACAGAAUGAUGACCCGUUCAGGUUCUCGGAAUACAGCCAAACAACAUGAGAAGUCUGAUCCAAAUUCCCAACAGGAAAUUUGUAGCGAUAGUUCAGAUUCCAGAGUUGUGACAGAAGACCGUGUUCAGCAAAUAGUCCAAAGUUCAAUGCAGGCCUUUCAAGCAAGCAUGCUACAAUCAGUGACAGAACAAAUCACUAUGGCGUUCACUCAAUUGAAUAAAUCCACAUUUGUAAAUAAUGGACAGAGUGAGCUGCAGCAGGACAUACAAAAUAAUUUCGGUCGAGACGUUCCCGAAAUAAACUCAGAAAGAAAUAACAAUUCACAUGUUAGGACUUCACCAGACUUUCGUAGCGAUCGGAGUGAUCUUUCAUUGGAUAGACCUGAUAGGAUUUCCAAUAUUAUAUCAAAUUGGCGUAUUAAAUUCAGCGGUUCAGCCAACGACAUUGCCAUUGAGGAUUUUAUUUACCGCGUAAAUUGUCUCACUUCGCAAAGCCUGAACGGAAACUUCGAACUUCUUUCCCAUUUCGCUAAUUUACUGUUCGCAGGACCGGCCUUAGCAUUUUAUUGGCGUGUUCACAGAUCGCUGGAUAACAUGAAUUGGAACGUGUUAUGCAGGCGUUUAAAGGAAAGAUAUCAAGAUCAGAGAUCUGAUCGUGAAAUUAAAAUUGCUAUGCGUUGCCGCAAACAGGGUAGCACAGAAAAUUUUGAUGACUUUUUGGAUGCAAUGCUUUCCAUUGCAGAUUCCCUUCGUGAACCAAUGCAGGACAGUGAGAUUACUGUAGAAGUUCGUCAUAAUCUCAAACCGGAGAUCAAGCACGAAUUACUGCACGUAGACACCCCAAAUUUAGCAACAUUGCGCAAAGAAUGUCAUCGUCACGAAGAUUUCUUUCAAAGCACCCGGACAAAACCAAUCCAACGUCCGAACACAAGCAAGCGUUUUGUAACCGCAAUUCUGCAGAAAGAUGAUUCCGAAGAUCAGUCUGAGGAAGAACAUGAUGUUGAGGACGAGAUUUGUGUCGUUAGGACUCCUGAGAAAAUGAAGUGCUGGAACUGCGAUGAAUCAGGUCACGGUUACCAGAAUUGCCUUAAGACACGCCGUAUUUUUUGUUAUGGUUGCGGAACACCGGAGGUGUAUAAACCCAACUGCGCAAAAUGUAAAUCGACAUCGGAAAACUCUCAGCAAGGCAUUCGUUAUGCGAACAAAACGAAUGUCCGCCCUUAGCUUCGAAAAUACAAACUGAACCAAAUUCUGUGGCAAAUGAUGUUCAUUCCAUUCUGCCUUCAACUCAACCUGACGUAACAUUAUCCCAAACUUUUAAUCCAUAUCAUUUGCAAGUGCUGGAGAAUGCGAAUCGUAAAUUGCAAUUAUCUAGGGAAAAUUCACUUAAUAAUCGAAAACACCGACCAUCACGGCGAAUUCGUAAGUUUUGGAUUCGUAAACGAUCAUUCAACCGUUUUACGAUUUCAUCAAUUGUUCAAAAUAAGAACGAUAUUCGACCUGUCACACACAUUGACUUAUUUGGUCAAUCGCAUUUAGCUCUCCUAGACAGUGGUGCCAACAAAAGUGUUAUAAGUGGGGAGCUAGCACAACAAUUAAUAUCAUGCCAAGGACAUUUGGUAAUUGCUUUUGACUCCUUUGUCAGUUUUUAUUGUUAGUCACAGGGACUAAAAAUCAAAUCUGUGGUUGUGGGAGUCGAGCCGAAUGGCAACCUUCUAUGUGCUACCGCACUUAUCUGGUGACGAACCAUUUUAGGCAAAUUAAAAUCCUGGCCAAAAUGAAAGUUGCCCUAUAAAAAUACCACAAAAUUCCAGAGUAGGAUUAUAGCAAGCUACGGUCACACAUGAUUUGCAGACUUCCGUUCUCUUUUUGUGAAGGCGUGAUCGAGUGCAGUUCAAUAUUGUGCAAAAUCCAUAUUUAAAAAUCCACGAGCAUCGUGUGGUUCGGAUUAUAGUUUUUCAAGGCAAAUACUGCCGAGUGAUAGUUUACCUUUAACUGCGUCGCUGCCGGUCCCACGUUUGGAGAUAGGAGUUUUAGUGGCUGCGUCGCCAAGGCGAUAGAUUUACAACUGCUGGCAUCAGGAGCACCCACCGUGUGCAGUGGAAGGCUGGGCUUGACCUCUUCUGCUGCCGACAGAUCACAGGUCAACCCACCCCAGAGUUGGCGUUCUUUUUUUCUUCAUCGCCGCACGCAGGAAGCAGAUCGCCGUGCAUCCAUUUAAUGCACAAAUCAGCUUGGUGUCUUCUUCAACCCUGCGUUUUCCAAUAAUAUUUGGGCACAACACGAGCCCCAGGCUGGCCUUGUCGCUGCGUAUGCUGCGAACCCGAAGCAGCCGCAACACGAAUGAUCGUGUCCAGUAUUAAGUAUAUUUAGAAUAGUUUUUUUUAUAUUUGAGUUAAUUUUACAUAAGAAUAUUUACUUAUAAAUUUCUAUAAUUCUAAUUUAGCUUAACUUGUGGGAGAUCUGACAAGUUUAUAUAUGUGAUUCUCCUGAUUUAUAGUAAUAACUACAGCAAAUCAUCAAACGUCAUCAGGCCUGCUGACAUCGAUGGAAAGUGCGUGAGUACAGAACAAAAUAAUAAAACACACAAACAUAUAUAUAUAAAAGUCAGAUAUUCCUAAAUAGUAUUCUUAAAAUAUCCUGCCUUAAUUAAUCAUGAUUUAAAGAAGUUUAUAGUUUAAAUACUCAUUAAUCAUAAAUAAUUCUAAUGUAAAAUAAGUCGAAGGAACAAAAGAAUAAUGUAAGCUUAUAUACCAGUAUUUGAAUUUCUACCUUAAUUAUUUUUAUUUCAUUUUGUCGCUGAUAAUCAAAAUUAAUCAAUAAGAGAUUUUCUUAACAUAAAUAACGUAAAUUUUAGUUUAAGGCUUAGGUUUAGGAAAAUGUAUCUGAAUCUUAUAUUUAUCUUUAAUUAUAUGGGGUCCAAAAUGAAUUAAUUUGACUUCUUGUUGGGCACCAAAGGGUAUGUAGAGCAGUGGUUGUACUAGGGUGGAGUCCGAAUGGAUUCCACAGGUAGGGUGGGUAAUGAAUAAGGCCAAUAACAUCUGGGCCUCGUCUUCAAUAGGUACACCUUCUUGUCCGCUUCCUAACCGUUUGGUUAUCGUUUUUUGAAUCUACCGUAUCUCUGUCUACACUAUUGUAGCUGUAACACUCUUUGUUCAUCACAACACAAAACCCACGCCCAUUUUCCCUGAGCAUGCCGGUAAAAAUCGUAGACAGAGUGUGUUGGGGUGGACAACGCUCUAUGAGUGUGUUCGUUACAAUA